UCACUCCAAAACAAUCUAUCAAGCAAGCAAGCAAGCAAACAAAAGCAAGUGGGCAAGGGCAAAGAGACUUCAGCCUUGGAUAAUUAAUCAAUUUGGUAGGUUGACUGCUUUAGAUACAAGAUGGUACCACAGGGUACUCCAGAAGGUUCUUCAGAGAGGAAGUAAAGAUUGAUUCUACCUCCUCCUUUUCCCCUGCCCCAUCAUACAGAAGUGUCCUUCUUGAACAUAGACUAGCACAUGUCAGUAAAGGGGGCUACAGACAAAAGACACCUACUUUCCUAACCUGGGCUCCAAAAGUGGAAAGAAAAUUUCAUGUAAAUGGUGGGAAGACAGCAAGCAGAAGGGGACAGCCUACUCAUUUAACUCCUAGCACCAGGCUUUGUCCUGGACCCCAGCAUUUCUGAGUUUUGCUGUGCCUGCAUUGUCACCAGAGAUCUGUGAAGUAAACACUGGUGUGGAGAGUGUGUCAUCUUUUAGCUAAUGCUGACCUAGAAAAGAGAGCGGCCUAUUUAUGACGGUAUUUCUCAGAGUAAUAGAAUAACCGGUGCCUGUGCCUAAGAUAUAAGAAUUUGAAACAUUUACAUGUAUCAAAUGUAAUGCUGAAGUAUACAAUUAUAAUAGCAGCCUGUAUGGAAAAGGGCUGGAAAAAAAAAAAAAAAGGUUUUAAGGAGAAAUGAACAGUCAAAUAAAAGCAAAUAUAAAGAAGAAAAUUAUUUGAAA
rnacentral:lncRNA from 1 species